rnacentral:rRNA from 1 species
GGGAGGCAGCAGUGGGGAAUAUUGCACAAUGGGCGAAAGCCUGAUGCAGCAACGCCGCGUGAGUGAUGAAGGCCUUCGGGUUGUAAAGCUCUGUCUUCUGGGACGAUAAUGACGGUACCAGAGGAGGAAGCCACGGCUAACUACGUGCCAGCAGCCGCGGUAAU